UGAAAACGUGUGUCGGCGCAGACAAAUGACGUCAUCAAAGACUCCCCAGCCUUGCUCAAUCUGCCACCUUGUGGAGUGGAGUACGAAGCGAAAAACAAUAACCGCUCUCUUCCUCAAAAAUAUAUAUAUUUUGUGCAUUCAGUCUUGAAUAUAUUUCCUACGUGAAAACCUAGAGGAACCAGGCUCCGAGGGAUGGCCAUUCCUCUUCUGGCUGUGCUGGCCAUUGAGGCCAUAUGGUUUCCAUGUGUUUGAAAUCAUUCCAUUCCAGCCAUUAUUAUCAGCUGUCCCCCCCUCAGCAGCCUGUGAUGUGUAUGAAUAGUACAAUGUGUUCUUUUAACUGUGGACCCUGACUUCUUGGUAAAACAGACCAUUUUCUCUCACACUGAUGCAAACAUCUCUAUACUGGUGCCAGUACUACUAAUACAAGGGUAUCCCACUAACUAGCUAUGUGAACUUGAUUUCCGAGAUAGCCUUCAAUACGCAUGCUUGAAAAAUAAAGCAUUCAUAAGAGCCUGUUCCGUGCAACCGCUUUUCAGAUAUAUGGUGAUAUUGCAAGUAGUUACAGCACACUGGGCAGACCGAGGCAAAGCACUGCUUGCUUCUUUGCCCUCUCCCCAUGAACGAGCAUCGUACUGAACUUCUGUCAUUGUACGUGCACGAGCUAAACUGUUUGCGUAGCGAGAUGUUGAAAAUGGCGGAGUAUAGAGACCAACGCGACAAUUAUAAUAUUAGUUAACCGUGAAUGACAAUUUCAAUACAAACGCAAGUUCUAUUUCGGAAUAAGUUAAUUUAAGGAGAGACAUGGAGUAUAGUUGAACACAUCGAAUUGGUUUUGAAACUGGCUUUGAAUUAGCUAGCGUUGCUAAUCUGGCUAGUUUCAAUAGUGUGAUUUUUUAUUUUUUAUCGCAGGUUUGUUUGUCAACAGCUGACGUUUAGCCACCAACCAACUUUUCCCUUACCAGUGCCAAACUACAGCACCAGAUCACAUUGUCCAUAGCGUGUGGAAGAGACUUUUACGGAGCGGCGGAUCAGAAAAUCAAGGCAACCGAACUAAGGAUCUGCCCCAGGACGUCCAAAAGGGGGCGAGGGGAGCCACUGCGAUGAGUGCGGCCAGGGAAAGGUCGUCAUCUCGGCACGCCGACUCUGUCUGGACCUCCUCGUGCAAUCCUCUUUGAAAUAGUGUGCGGAACGCCGGCUCAUUCCAUCCGCUGGAGGCUGUCACGGUCCGGAAGGUGAGGGCAUACUCCGCAACGGUCUGGGCACCCUGCCGGAGUUGGAGUAGUCGCUCACCUCCAUGUCUGCCCUCCGGUGGAUGGUCGAAGACCGCCAUGAACCUCUCGUAGGAACCCAUCCAUUCCUCUCCUCUCUCCCAGAUGGCUGUAGCCCUCAUUCAUAGUUGUGCCAGCUGAUUAUGGUGUUUGCGGAUUAGAUGUCCUUGUUCGUCGACCGUCUGGGAGACGUCCUUAUCUUCUGCUGCUUCCAUUUUUGAAGUGGCAGUAUUCUGUAACGUAUAUGCAGGGAUUCAGGAAACAGGUGCAGAAGAUGAGUUUUUAAUAAUAAUCAUGAAGAUAAUACAAAACACGAGAAGUGUACUGAACGUAACCAAAACAAAUACUGCCUGAUUACAGAGGUCUUUAUGAAGGGAGAGUAAUCAGGGUGGUGAUGAAGUCCAGGUGUGCUUAACGAUGGGGAGCAGGUGUGCG
rnacentral:lncRNA from 1 species